rnacentral:misc_RNA from 1 species
UCCAGUUUAUCACUAGCAGUCUUCCUAGAGUGCCCACCAUGACGUGAUGGCAACUAAGAACAAAGGUUGCGCUCGUUGCGGGACUUAACCCAACACUUCACAGCACGAGCUGACGACAGCCAUGCAGCACCUGUGUAAUUGUUUCUUGCGAAAAGACCAACUUUCAUCGGCUUGUCAAAUACAUGUCAAGCCUGGGUAAGGUUCUUCGCGUAGCCUCGAAUUAAACCACAUGCUCCACCGCUUGUGCGGGUCCCCGUCAAUUUCUUUGAGUUUCAGUCUUGCGACCGUACUUCCCAGGUGGUGGAUUAAAUGCGUUAGCUGCGGCACUGAGGGGAUCGACACCCCCAACACCUAAUCCACAUCGUUUACGGCAAGGACUAC